UCUUCACUGCCUAUAUAAUCAAACAUAUGCCUCAUUUUUAUUCAUGUUCUUCUUCGUCGCUCAUCUUUGCAAUCAAAUAGCGAUUCAGCGCUCGUCGUGUUUCUCCGUUUGGUUCUGAAUUGUCGAAAAGGUUAAUUGCUGCUUCGUAUUGUGCUGACUAGUAAUUUUGAUGUUAAGAAGUGCAAUGAUGAGACGAAACACACAAGUGUGUUUGGGUAGUGGACGUUGCCUUAUGGUUUCGCCGUGAGCUCACAUUUUUAACGACUUCUCCUUCCACUGAGCACUACUAUGACUAGAAUUGAUUUUGAUUUGCAAAGGGCAGCGGAAAAAUUAUUACAGUGAAAGCUUUUUAAUUUGAUUAUUAUUGCAUUGUCUAUGUUUUUUUAUUGCGUCCAUUACCAAUUCUGGGGGAUAGUUUGUUCCUCUUGGUAUAAUGGCUCGGACGCAAUAUCCAUGAAGUGGUCAUCCUGAUUGAUGGUUUAACAACAAUACCAUAUGGUCUUGGAAACGCCACCAACAUUAGUUCAUUCAAAUUAUUAAGAGAACACAAAUUUUGUGCUAGGAAUAUCUUCUUUUACUCUUGUUUUGUGAAAUUAAAAUAGUGUUACCGUUGUGUGCUGUGACGAGGCAAUUUUAUGGACUAGAGUUUCUGAUCUGGGAACUUUCUCAGAAAUUGAUUAUCAAACCCUUGGCUGUCUGAGCAUACUGAAUUAAAUUUGUCAGAUUUUUUAUAAUUUCGUUUUUGAAGAUUUUUAAUGUGGUCUACUUAAUAAUCUCAUUGUUAGCUUUAAA